rnacentral:rRNA from 1 species
UACGAAGGGUGCAAGCGUUGUUCGGAAUUAUUGGGCGUAAAGCGCGCGCAGGCGGAUCAGCAAGUCAGAUGUGAAAUCUCGGGGCUUAACCCCGAAACUGCGUCUGAAACUACUAAUCUAGAAUAUCGGAGAGGAAGAUGGAAUUUCGCAUGUAGGGGUAAAAUCCGUAGAGAUGCGAAGGAACACCAGAGGCGAAAGCGAUUUUCUGGACGAUUAUUGACGCUGAGGCGCGAAAGCGUGGGGAGCAAACAGGAUUAGAUACCCUGGUAGUCCACGCCGUAAACUAUGAGUACUAGAUAUGGGGGGAGUUUGACCCCUUCCGCAUCGUAGCAAACGCAUUAAGUACUCCGCCUGGGAAUUACGGUCGCAAGACUAAA